AGGAUGAACGCUGGCGGCGUGCCUAAAACAUGCAAGUCAUACGGACUACCUUCGGGUAGUCAGUGGCAAACGGGUGAGUAACACGUGGGAACACGCCUUCGAGUGGGAAUAACGCUGAGAAAUCAGUGCUAAUACCGCAUAUGGUCGAGAGACUAAAGCAGCAAUGCGCUCGGAGAGUGGCCCGCGGUCGAUUAGCUAGUUGGUGGGGUAAUGGCCUACCAAGGCGGCGAUCGAUAGCUGGUCUGAGAGGAUGGUCAGCCACACUGGGACUGCGAACGGCCCAGACUCCUACGGGAGGCAGCAGUUAGGAAAUUUUCGUCAAUGGACGCAAGUCUGAACGAGCGACGCCGCGUGAAGGAUGAAGGCCUCUCGGGGUGUAAACUCUUUUUUACGGAAGAUAAUGACGGUACCGUAAGAAUAAGCACCGGCUAACUACGUGCCAGCAGCCGC
rnacentral:rRNA from 1 species